rnacentral:rRNA from 1 species
UACGAAGGGGGCUAGCGUUGCUCGGAAUCACUGGGCGUAAAGGGUGCGUAGGCGGGUCUCUAAGUCAGGGGUGAAAUCCUGGAGCUCAACUCCAGAACUGCCUUUGAUACUGAAGAUCUUGAGUUCGGGAGAGGCGAGUGGAACUGCGAGUGUAGAGGUGAAAUUCGUAGAUAUUCGCAAGAACACCAGUGGCGAAGGCGGCUCACUGGCCCGAUACUGACGCUGAGGCACGAAAGCGUGGGGAGCAAACAGG